ensembl:snoRNA SNORD58 Small nucleolar RNA SNORD58
UCGCAGUGAUGACAAUUUAGGACACCUUUGUAUUUACCAUGAAAAGAAAUGAGAAUAUCUGAGCGAU